GUAUCAUGGCUCAGGAUGAACGCUAGCUACAGGCUUAACACAUGCAAGUCGAGGGGCAGCAUGAACUUAGCUUGCUAAGUUUGAUGGCGACCGGCGCACGGGUGAGUAACACGUAUCCAACCUUCCGUUUACUCAGGGAUAGCUUCGAAGAAGAUUAAUACCUGAUAGUAUGGUGAGAUUGCAUGAUAACACCAUUAAAGAUUUAUUGGUAAACGAUGGGGAUGCGUUCCAUUAGG
rnacentral:rRNA from 1 species